CGGAGGUGCAAGCGUUAAUCGGAAUUACUGGGCGUAAAGCGCACGCAGGCGGUUGGAUAAGUUAGAUGUGAAAGCCCCGGGCUCAACCUGGGAAUUGCAUUUAAAACUGUCCAGCUAGAGUCUUGUAGAGGGGGUAGAAUUCCAGGUGUAGCGGUGAAAUGCGUAGAGAUCUGGAGGAAUACCGGUGGCGAAGGCGGCCCCUGGACAAAGACUGACGCUCAGGUGCGAAAGCGUGGGGAGCAAACAGGAUU
rnacentral:rRNA from 1 species